rnacentral:pre_miRNA from 1 species
GUGAGCCACUGCAUCGCCCUCGCGGAGGCGGGGGCCCAUUCCACCUGUCCGAAGUUGGAAACGUGGGAUGGGUCCCCGCCUUCGCGAGGACGAUGCAGUGAUUGCG